CCGGCCUCACACAUGCAAGUCGAGCGAGCAAGGGGAAACCCCGAGUAAAGCGGCGCACGGGUGAGUCACACGUCGGUCAUUUACCCCUNAGGUGGUGGAUCACCUUCCGAAAGGAGGGCUCAUCCAGCAUCAGCCCACGUCUUCGCAAGGAGAUGAGGUCAAAGCCGGCCUCUUCAUGAAAGCUGGCGCCGAGGGAUGAGCCUGCGGCCCAUCACGGUAGUUGGUAGGGUAAUGGCCUCCCAAGCCUCAGACGGGUAGCUGGUCUGAGAGGAUGAUCAGCCACACUGGAACUGAGACACGGUCCAGACUCCUCAGGGAGGCAGCAGUGGGGAAUCUUGCGCAAUGGGCGAAAGCCUGACGCAGCGACGCCGCGUGAGUGAUGAAGGCCUUCGGGUUGUAAAGCUCUGUGGGGAGGGACGAAUAAGUGCUGGCUAACAUCCAGCGCGAUGACGGUACCUCUUUAGCAAGCACCGGCUAACUCUGUGCCAGCAGCCGCGGUAAU
rnacentral:rRNA from 1 species